GUCCUGGGAUUAUAGGCGUGAGCCACCGUGCCCGGCCUUUUUUUUUUUAAAGACAGAUAGGGUGUUGCUCUGCUGUCCAGGCUUGAGUGCAGUAGUUGAUCAUAGCCCACUACAACCUCGAACUCCUUGGCUCAAGUGAUCCUCCUGCCUCAGCCUUCAGAGUAGCUAGGACUAAAGGCACGUGACCACUGGAACAGAGCUGCUAACUUUUUUCUUUUCUUUUUUUUUUUUGGAAAGACAAGGUCUCUCUAUGUUGCCCAGGCUGGUCUCAAAGUCCUGGGCUUAAGUGAUCUGGCCACCUCAGCCUCCCGAUGUGCUGGGAUUAUAGGCAUGAGCCACUGCGCCCAGCCACUUAAUUAUCUAAAUAAUUAGCUUGAUUAUCCAUUGCUUAGAGUAGGUCCAGGCACAGUGAGCUCGUCUGGGAAGCAGAUCCCCAAAACCUCACAUGGCGGGAACCCUUAGCAACCAGUUAGGCAGCCCCACAAGCUAACCAUGACUCCUGGUUCUGUUCCAAUUACCCAGGUGCAAUCAAGGCAGGUUUCAAUCAGCUGGUCAGAGAAAAGGUCAUUGUGAACAGACCGCCCAAAGCCAGGAAAAAGCCCAGGCAGAGAAGCUUUGGCGAAGAACACUCGCACUUUGGACCUAAGGGUCAAGGUCUGCACUGAGUGCACAGCCCUCAUCUUUGUGUGGCUGACCUGCACACUGUCAGGCACCUUCUCUGUCGGAUAGAAAGCAAAAAAUAGAUCAGCAAGCUGCAGCUCACAUUUUAAAAUCACCGAGAGAGGGGAAACAAGCAUGAAAUCUACCGUGGCAGAUGAUAGAGGACCACCUCCGCUCCUGUGCUGUUGGAGGUCCGAGAAUGAUGCCUCAAGAAGAGAACAUACAGCUGCCCGUAUCUAAUUAGGGAACAAAGAGACAAAAAUCACAUCUGGCCAUUCAAAAUUCCUUUGCUCUAAAUGGUAUCACGGUUAAGUAAAUUAUGAGAUAUUCACUUAAUGGACUAUUU